UACGCGUGGGACCUUCCCAAUGGUACGGAAUAGCCCAGGGAAACUUGGAGUAAUACCGUAUACGCCCGAAAGGGGAAAGAUUCAUCGCCAUUGGAUGGGCCCGCGUAGGAUUAGCUAGUUGGUGAGGUAAUGGCUCACCAAGGCGACGAUCCUUAGCUGGUCUGAGAGGACGACCAGCCACACUGGGACUGAGACACGGCCCAGACUCCUACGGGAGGCAGCAGUGGGGAAUAUUGGACAAUGGGCGAAAGCCUGAUCCAGCCAUGCCGCGUGAGUGAUGAAGGCCUUAGGGUUGUAAUGCUCUUUUAGCGGGGAAGAUAAUGACGGUACCCGCAGAAUAAGCCCCGGCUAACUUCGUGCCAGCAGCCGCGGUAAUACGAAGGGGGCUAGCGUUGUUCGGAAUUACUGGGCGUAAAGCGCACGUAGGCGGAUUGACAAGUCAGGGGUGAAAUCCCGGGGCUCAACCUCGGAACUGCCUUUGAUACUGUCAGUCUAGAGUCCGGAAGAGGUGGGUGGAAUUCCUAGUGUAGAGGUGAAAUUCGCAGAUAUUAGGAAGAACACCGGUGGCGAAGGCGGCCCACUGGUCCGGUACUGACGCUGAGGUGCGAAAGCGUGGGGAGCAAACAGGGUUAGAUACCCUGGUAGUCCACGCCGUAAACGAUGGAUGCUAGCCGUCGGCAAGCUUGCUUGUCGGUGGCGCAGCUAACGCAUUAAGCAUCCCGCCUGGGGAGUACGGCCGCAAGGUUAAAACUCAAAGGAAUUGACGGGGGCCCGCACAAGCGGUGGAGCAUGUGGUUUAAUUCGACGCAACGCGAAGAACCUUACCAAGCCUUGACAUGUCCGGACCGAUC
rnacentral:rRNA from 1 species